GAUGAACGCUAGCGACAGGCCUAACACAUGCAAGUCGAGGGGCAGCACAAGGAGUAAUCUGAGGUGGCGACCGGCGCACGGGUGAGUAACACGUAUGCAACCUGCCUGUAAGCGGGGAAUAACCCGUUGAAAGACGGACUAAUACCGCAUAAUACUAAAUUACUGCAUGGUAAUUUAUUUAAACAUUUAUGGCUUACAGAUGGGCAUGCGCAUGAUUAGCUAGUUGGAGAGGUAACGGCUCCCCAAGGCAACGAUCAUUAGGGGUUCUGAGAGGAAGGUCCCCCACACUGGUACUGAGACACGGACCAGACUCCUACGGGAGGCAGCAGUGAGGAAUAUUGGUCAAUGGGCGAGAGCCUGAACCAGCCAAGUCGCGUGCAGGAAGAAUGUCCUAUGGAUUGUAAACUGCUUUUGCAGGGGAAUAAAGUGAGCCACGUGUGGUUUUUUGUAUGUACUCUGCGAUAGGAUCGGCUAACUCCGUGCC
rnacentral:rRNA from 1 species